UACGUAGGGAGCAAGCGUUGUUCGGAUUUACUGGGCGUAAAGGGCGCGUAGGCGGCGUGUCAAGUCGAUUGUGAAAUCUCCGGGCUUAACUCGGAACGGCCAAUCGAUACUGACGUGCUAGAGUGCAGAAAGGGCAAUCGGAAUUCUUGGUGUAGCGGUGAAAUGCGCAGAUAUCAGGAGGAACACCGGUGGCGAAGGCGGGUCUCUGGGCCGAUAUCGACGCUGAGGAGCGAAAGCGUGGGGAGCGAACAGG
rnacentral:rRNA from 1 species